UGCAGUUUAUUCUGCAGAGUGUGGAGGGAGAAGAAAGAAUCCUGAGGGCAGGGACUGAGCAGGGAAGGCACUGAAGAGUCACCUACCACUGGAGGGUGGCACUGCCCCAGGCCCUGAAUAUGGAAGCACCCUCUUCUGGGGGAAUUUUGCACAUGGUCUCGAAGACUUUGCAAUAUGGCUGUAUUCCUUGUCCUGUGCAGAAGAAGCUUCUGCUGGUGGCCUGCUCUGGCUUGCGUAGUGUGAAUAUCCUGGGAACUGAAGGAGGCAAACUCACCAGCAAACAAGAACAAUCGCUGCUUGUCUUGGGGGUUGAAGAACUGAAAACAUGUCUGUGACUGUGCAGAGUUAGGCUCAGGUGCACAACCUGCCCACAAACCUUACCCACCGUGAGAAGGUGCCGGCCCAUCCUCCACCUACACAAGCCACUCCUAAAGUAGCUUUUGGGGAAAAUAGGUAUGAACAACUGUUCUCUAUAUACUCAGUAACUAGAUUUUUCUAAUAAAGCCAUCUUCUU